GCUGGAGCUGUGCAGGAUGGCUGGCUUCUAGGUAAGGAUUGUUCAUGUUGAAAUAUUGCAAUUACACUCUACUGCAGUACCUAAUUCACCGUUCUGUGACCUUGCAAGUGACAGUGGACGAUGGCUGCUAACCCCGUUUCAAAACCCACAGAGCGCGGAGGAACGCCGUUACAACGUGCGUCACAGCCAGACACGCGUUGUAAAGGAAGGUGGCGGUGCCUCAAUGCCACAGGAGGGCGUUUGUGUUACACACCUGCAAAGGUGUGUAAGACUGUGAGGGCUUGUGCUGUGCUAAACAACAUGGCACAGAGGGAGAAUGUGCCACCACCACCACCUGAGGCCAAUGUCAUCCCUGACCCCGACCCCCACCCCCCCAUGUGAGCAAAAUGCUGCUGCUGUGCACCAGCGUCUGGAGGUGAUGCAAUGCAUAUAACAAACACACAAGAGGACUGCAUCUGUCAGGACACGGCUGCUGCGGGAGGACGCAUGAGGUGCUGUGGCGUCUCCGGCCUCUCCGGCCUCUCCAGCCACAGGUGGAGCACCACUGCUGGAACACUCGGGGGCUGCAA